rnacentral:rRNA from 1 species
UACGAAGGGGGGCUAGCGUUGUCCGGAAUUAUUGGGCGUAAAGAGCUCGUAGGCGGUUUGUCGCGUCUGCUGUGAAAACCCGAGGCUCAACCUCGGGCCUGCAGUGGGUACGGGCAGACUAGAGUGCGGUAGGGGAGAUUGGAAUUCCUGGUGUAGCGGUGGAAUGCGCAGAUAUCAGGAGGAACACCGAUGGCGAAGGCAGAUCUCUGGGCCGUAACUGACGCUGAGGAGCGAAAGCAUGGGGAGCGAACAGG